CUAACUCACUUUUGAGAACCUGCACUAAAAGAGGUAGGGGGUGGGAAAAACUGGGCAGGCCAGCGGAGGUGGGGAGUGGCAGCUCUGAGACCUGAAGCCUCAGAACCAGCUCUCCUCCUCCUCUUCCUCCUCAAGAUGGACCUCAACUCACUGAACUCUGGUUCACUCUUUUGGUCCCAGAGCUAAUUCUUUGGUUGUUUAAGGUUUAGCAUAGGAGACCCCAAAGCAGCAAGGUUCUGGCCCUGGUUCUGCCACUUGCCAGCUCCACGCCCUCAGAUCAGUGGCUUCAGAGCCUCAACGUGCUCAGCUGUGAAACAGGGACAGGGUGAGGCCUUCCCAGGUAUGAUCCACUGUGCCCAUCCUGGAUGCAGACUUUAAGCAGAGUCACAUCAACAAGAAGAGCUGUGAAGGUCAGGGCAUGACCCACAGAUGCCCAAACACUGCACUGGAGGUCCAGGAAGAUUCUGCUGACAACGCAACCCUGAGCCAAGAUCUGAAGGAUAAGAGGGAGCUUAUAACAUGGAAGAAGGAACAGUAUUCCUGGCAAGUGGAACAGCAUGUGCAAAGAUGAGGACAUGGGCCCAGAGAGGUUAUGUGAGUGACACAGCUUGAAGGUGGAGUUAAGCCUGGGCAGUCUGGCUUCAGAGUGUCCACAGUCUCAACCACUGCCUCACAUGGCUUCUUAGAAAAUAUUAUAAAAAGAAGCUCGGGCUGCCAUGUGGAAAAGAAUGGAGAGGGGACAAUGACACAGCUGGGAGCAUGCUGUGAUGGUGUACAGCGGACACAUUCAGGAUGAGGUGAAACAGGCUGGCCCUGGUGAGAGGCUAGAUGGGGCUGGGAUGAGGGUGGAGACAAGUAGUCUUGGGGUUGGCUUGGUGCAGCUGGGGGGUGCGGGGAGUGUCUCUGAGGUGAGGCCGGGGGUAUGGGAACGCCAUGUUUGGUCUGGGACACGGUGGGCUUGGGAUGGCUACAGGACAGUGCAGUGGAGAGUCAAAAAGGCUGCUCGGACCCAGGUCUGGCGAGAUGGAAGCUGGAGGUCAGGUGAGCUGUCUAGGAGAGGGACAGAGUGGGAAGGAGAGGGUCUCGACUCGGCUUUCUUGCCAAAGGAGGGUUCCGAAAUGAGAAACUGUGGAAUCUAAGCUGGAGAGGAAGAAAGACGGAGAAUGAGUGAACGCACACGUGUGGGACAGAUAGAUGAAUAUUCAUGUCUUUGGCUCCUAUGUACCUGAGUCUUCUAAAGCUGCAGGCCAUACUACCCCCGGGAGGCUGCAGGGAUGCCAGCUGGGAGAUGAAUGCAACUCUGCUGCCUGGGCAUGGGCCUGAGUGAGGGUGCAGACCCCUGCCUGUGAUCAUCAGGGAGGGUGAUGAGAACAAGGUGGCUGACAGGAUCCAGAAAGCCCAGGACAUAACAGAGCCGCAGUGCCUGCCCUGAUCCACGCGCACACAGAUCUAGCCCAGGAACAAGCCCAUCCACGGAGUGAGCAGCUGACAGGGGAGCCACGAACAGCCUGGAGAGCUGAGCAUGGGCCUGCUCCACACUCCAGCGGGGCCCGAGGCCCCCGGGAACUCUACCCCUCCUGGCAGCCUCACAGAACCUGCUGCAUCCAUCUCAAAAGGCAUACCUCCUCCAGGAAGCCUUCCCCGCUGCUCAGAGGUCUUAAAUCCGGGGUCUGCACUCACAAACUGUGCAGCCUACACCAGCUUCUGGGGGACAGCAGAACACUGUGGGGGGCCUGGCACAGUCCCUGGCACACGAGCCUCCCUGCCAGCCCAGAUGGUCACAAGGGCCUCCUGGGAUGCUGCCCACCUUGGCAGCCAGGCCCCUCCGGAGGGGCCAGUCUGGGCCUGACACCCCCGAACACCAACCCCCUGGGCAGAGCCUGCCUGUGCCUGGGUGAGGAACCCUGCAGUCUCCUUGCCACACAAGGCCUGGGUCUGCCUUGGGGCCCAGGCUGCACCCUCUCCGACCCCCAGGCCCAAUGUCUGACCUGUGCCCACCUGACUCAACCUGGCUACUGUUCAGCAAGUUUACAAAGUGUUCUCAGUCUGAACAGGAACCGUUUUCAAUCCUUUAUUUCAGAAAGGAGAGCCAGGAGAACUGGGGACUUAGAAAAUACAGAUCCUAAACUCAAAAGUCCCUGC
rnacentral:lncRNA from 1 species